UACGAAGGGGGCUAGCGUUGUUCGGAAUUACUGGGCGUAAAGGGCGCGUAGGCGGUGUGUCAAGUCAGGCGUGAAAGCCCCGGGCUCAACCUGGGAACAGCGCUUGAGACUGGCACGCUCGAGUUCGGGAGAGGAUGGUGGAAUUCCCAGUGUAGAGGUGAAAUUCGUAGAUAUUGGGAAGAACACCGAUGGCGAAGGCAGCCAUCUGGACCGACACUGACGCUGAGGCGCGAAAGCCAGGGGAGCAAACGGG
rnacentral:rRNA from 1 species